rnacentral:rRNA from 1 species
UACGUAGGCAGCGAGCGUUGUUCGGAGUUACUGGGCGUAAAGAGUGCGUAGGCGGUUUUCUAAGUUUGGUGUGAAAUCUCCCGGCUCAACUGGGGAGGUGCGCCGAAGACUGGAAGGCUUGAGUAUGGGAGAGGUAAGCGGAAUUCCUGGUGUAGCGGUGAAAUGCGUAGAUAUCUGGAGGAAUACCGGUGGCGAAGGCAGAUCUCUGGGCCGUAACUGACGCUGAGGAGCGAAAGCGUGGGGAGCAAACAGG